CCUACGGGAGGCUGCAGUGGGGAAUAUUGGACAAUGGGGGGAACCCUGAUCCAGCCAUGCCGCGUGUGUGAAGAAGGCCCUCGGGUUGUAAAGCACUUUCAGUGAGGAAGAACGCCUGGUGGUUAAUACCCAUCAGGAAAGACAUCACUCACAGAAGAAGCACCGGCUAACUCCGUGCCAGCAGCCGCGGUAAUACGGAGGGUGCGAGCGUUAAUCGGAAUUACUGGGCGUAAAGCGCGCGUAGGUGGCUUGAUAAGCCGGUUGUGAAAGCCCCGGGCUCAACCUGGGAACGGCAUCCGGAGCUGUCAAGCUAGAGUGCAGGAGAGGAAGGUAGAAUUCCCGGUGUAGCGGUGAAAUGCGUAGAGAUCGGGAGGGAUACCAGUGGCGAAGGCGGCCUUCUGGACUGACACUGACACUGAGGUGCGAAAGCGUGGGUAGCAAACAGGAUUAGAUACCCCGGUAGUC
rnacentral:rRNA from 1 species